UUAGAGUACUGAAUGGAAUUUAAUGGAAUAUCAGUAAUCCUGAGGAUCGUUUCAUUUAUGCACCACAACCUUGCUACUCUUGUGUAAAAGGUCAAUAAACAAUAAAACAAAACUUUUUCAAAUAAAUAUGUCUGUAAAUCAUU